rnacentral:rRNA from 1 species
GGAGCAAACCGGAUUAGAUCCCCGGGUAGUCCCAGCCGUAAACGAUGUGGAUUGGGUAUUGCAGGUGCUUAGGGCUCCUGCAGUGCCGAAGGGAAACCGUUAAAUCCACCACCUGGGGAGUACGGUCGCAAGGCUGAAACUUAAAGGAAUUGGCGGAGGAGCACCACAAGGGGUGGAGUCUGCGGUUUAAUUGGAUACAACACCAGACAACUCACCAGGGGCGACGGCAGGAUGAUAGUCAGACUGAAGAUCUUGCUUGACGAGCCGAGAGGUAGUGCAUGGCCACCGUCAGCUCGUACCGUGAGGCGUGCCCUUAAGUGGGCUAACGAGCGAGACCCAUACCUUCAUUUGCUACCAUUCAUUUUUGAAUGGGCACCAUGAAGGGACCGCUGGUGAUAAACCAGAGGAAGGAAUGGGCGAUGAUAGGUCAGUAUGCUCCGAAUCCCCUGGGCUACACGUGGGCUACAAUGGCAUGAACAAUGGGUUGCAACUCCGAAAGGAGAAGCCAAUCCCCUAAAUCAUGCCUCAGUUCGGAUUGAGGGUUGCAACUCACCCUCAUGAAGGUGAAAUCCCUAGUAACCGUAAGUUAUCAGCUUGCGGUGAAUAUGUCCCCGCUCCUUGUACACACCGCCCGUCAAGCCAAUCGAGUAGGCAUGAUGUGAGGUGCUACCAUUAGGUAGUAUCGAACAUCAUGUCUGCGAGAAGGGCUAAGUCGUAACAAGGUAGCCGUAGGGGAAUCUGCGGCUG